AUUGGACGCUGGCGGCAGGCCUAACACAUGCAAGUCGAGCGGAUGAAGGGAGCUUGCUCCUGGAUUCAGCGGCGGACGGGUGAGUAAUGCCUAGGAAUCUGCCUGGUAGUGGGGGAUAACGUCCGGAAACGGGCGCUAAUACCGCAUACGUCCUGAGGGAGAAAGAGGGGGAUCUUCGGACCUCACGCUAUCAGAUGAGCCUAGGUCGGAUUAGCUAGUUGGUGGGGUAAAGGCCUACCAAGGCGACGAUCCGUAACUUGUCUGAGAGGAUGAUCAGUCAAACUGGAACUGAGACACGGUCCAGACUCCUACGGGAGGCAGCAGUGGGGAAUAUUGGACAAUGGGCGAAAGCCUGAUCCAGCCAUGCCGCGUGUGUGAAGAAGGUCUUCGGAUUGUAAAGCACUUUAAGUUGGGAGGAAGGGCAGUAAGUUAAUACCUUGCUGUUUUGACGUUACCAACAGAAUAAGCACCGGCUAACUUCGUG
rnacentral:rRNA from 1 species